rnacentral:rRNA from 1 species
GACAGAGGCCCCAAGCGUUAGGCGGAAUCACUGGGCUUAAAGCGUGUGUAGGCGGACGCCUAAGUGUCUUGUGAAAUCCCACGGCUCACCCGUGGAACUGCUGGGCAUACUGGGCGUCUUGGGCCAACUAGGGGCAGCCGGAACAAACGGUGGAGCGGUGAAAUGCGUAGAUAUCGCUUGGAACGCCGAAGGUGAAAACAGGCUGCUGGGGUUGUGCCGACGCUGAGACACGAAAGCCAGGGGAGCAAACGGG